rnacentral:rRNA from 1 species
GUGAGGUAACGGCCCACCAAGGCGACGAUCCAUAGCCGGACUGAGAGGUUGAACGGCCACAUUGGGACUGAGACACGGCCCAGACUCCUACGGGAGGCAGCAGUGGGGAAUAUUGCACAAUGGGGGAAACCCUGAUGCAGCAACGCCGCGUGAAGGAAGACGGUUUUCGGAUUGUAAACUUCUGUUCUUAGUGAAGAUAGUGACGGUAGCUAAGGAGCAAGCCACGGCUAACUAC